CUCACAAUAACAUUAUUAACGGCCACGAUCUGUCAGGACGAUCAUCUAAGUACACUACUUGCUUUUUAUUGACGAUAGAGUAUUACUGUGGGACUUAACGACAGUAAUGCUGCCAAUUAUCAUCAUUGUUGUUUUUAGCUUGCAAACUUACAGUAACACUGCUAAUUAUCUUCAUUCACAUUACUAAUUGGUUUAAUGACAGUAGUACUGAAAUUAUUAGCAUUGCAUGUGUAGUAAUAAUUCUGACUGUUAUGUCUUCCAGUAUGUAUGUAACGUCACCUCCUGUCUGACUAAUAGCACGAUCUUCCAUAUGCCUAGCGAGAGACAUAAUUCAGAAUUCCUAUACUAAUCAGGGCGUACUUCAUGUCGCUAGAGUCGUGUCAAAAUGUAUUUGCAAAGUCGAAUUUGGAAAAGGAUGGGAGUUGCUUUCACAUGCACAACACACGCAGCUACGUACCGGUUUCAUUUUAUUUUAUUUUCUGCCUCUUUCUUUCUCAGAAGCAUACUCGAAGUUCCAUUAACGAGUCAGCCACUUUGGUUGUAGUUGGAACAAGCGUCAUUGUCCACAGCUACACUGUAAUAGUGCUGACUUUGAACAGUAAAAUAGAGAUCCUGAUAAGUGAUUUCUGAAAAGUCGAGAGCAGAGACCACUAGAAAUUGGUGCAGUUGAUCAAAACCAGCAGUUUUUUCUCAGCUUUUUGUCAUCAAAGGUUUGAUGGCCAGCAAACGCUCAGGUAUACAUUCUGAAACUAGCAAGAACCAUCUUCUUCUUUUUUAUUAUUUUAAAUCACAUUUCAAUUUAAGAGUAAUACAUUUUUCGUAGACUUUCUGUGGGAAUACGAACUAUAUGUUACAUGAAAUGACCAGCAUGUGCUAUCAUUUGCGACAGAUGAUCGUAGCCAAUGUACUAAGAAGAGAAAUGAAAUAUAUAGAAAAGAAAAGAGAAAAGAAAAAAACCUUGGAAAAGGCAUUCAUCAGUCCAAAGGUGGGGGUAAUGCUCCACAAUCAAAUUUACUGCUCCCCAGUACAACAGAAGCGCGGAAGAUUAUUGGCAAGGCAAAGUUGUCCCUGACGAAGCAGAUUACACUAGAAUCCCAAGCUAACGCAGAACCGAAAACGAACGACUUCACAGUAAGCCUAAAG
rnacentral:lncRNA from 1 species